rnacentral:rRNA from 1 species
AUUGAACGCUGGCGGCAUGCCUUACACAUGCAAGUCGAACGGUAACAGGUCUUCGAAUGCUGACGAGUGGCGAACGGGUGAGUAAUACAUCGGAACGUGCCUAGUAGUGGGGGAUAACUACUCGAAAGAGUGGCUAAUACCGCAUGAGAUCUACGGAUGAAAGCAGGGGAUCGCAAGACCUUGUGCUACUAGAGCGGCCGAUGGCAGAUUAGGUAGUUGGUGGGAUAAAAGCUUACCAAGCCGACGAUCUGUAGCUGGUCUGAGAGGACGAUCAGCCACACUGGGACUGAGACACGGCCCAGACUCCUACGGGAGGCGGCAGUGGGGAAUUUUGGACAAUGGGCGAAAGCCUGAUCCAGCAAUGCCGCGUGCAGGAUGAAGGCCUUCGGGUUGUAAACUGCUUUUGUACGGAACGAAAAGCCCCGGGUUAAUACCCUGGGGUCAUGACGGUACCGUAAGAAUAAGCACCGGCUAACUACGUGCCAGCCGCCGCGGUAA